AUUGAACGCUGGCGGCAGGCUUAACACAUGCAAGUCGAGCGGAGCGAGGGUGCUUGCACCUUAGCUUAGCGGCGGACGGGUGAGUAAUGCUUAGGAAUCUGCCUAUUAGUGGGGGACAACAUUCCGAAAGGGAUGCUAAUACCGCAUACGCCCUACGGGGGAAAGCAGGGGAUCUUCGGACCUUGCGCUAAUAGAUGAGCCUAAGUCGGAUUAGCUAGUUGGUGGGGUAAAGGCCUACCAAGGCGACGAUCUGUAGCGGGUCUGAGAGGAUGAUCCGCCACGCUGGGACGGAGACACGGCCCAGACUACUACGGGAGGCAGCAGUGGGGAAUAUUGGACAAUGGGCGGAAGCCUGAUCCAGCCAUGCCGAGUGUGUGAAGAAGGCCUUUUGGUUGUAAAGCACUUUAAGCGAGGAGGAGGCUACUAGUAUUAAUACUACUGGAUAGUGGACGUUACUCGCAGAAUAAGCACCGGCUAACUCUGUGCCAGCCGCCGCAGUAA
rnacentral:rRNA from 1 species